AUUGUUUCAUCGAUCGUUUGCUUGACAAGCAAUCCCAUCGCUUCUUUCACUCGCUUCGUCCUCGAUCGUGUCAUCGGUCCGCCUUCGACUAUCAAUGGAUCCUUUCCGUAACUCGUCGCUUGACUCGCUUCGGUUGUGGACGUGCCUUGAUUCAUAUCAUCCCCUCCCUCUUCGAAAGGAUUCGUCCUCGAAUCUAAACCUGCAUCGAAAAGAGAUAGAUCAGCAACAUUAAAAGUAGCUAAAACAUUAUACUCACCUGGUAAGUCCACUUUGUAGGCAUUGUCGUUGAUCCGCUCGAUGACUUGAAACGGUCCAUC
rnacentral:lncRNA from 1 species